AUGAACGCUGGCGGCGUGCCUAAUACAUGCAAGUCGCGCGAACAGACGAGGAGCUUGCUCCUCUGACGUUAGCGGCGGACGGGUGAGUAACACGUGGAUAACCUACCUAUAAGACUGGGAUAACUUCGGGAAACCGGAGCUAAUACCGGAUAAUAUAUUGAACCGCAUGGUUCAAUAGUGAAAGACGGUUUUGCUGUCACUUAUAGAUGGAUCCGCGCCGCAUUAGCUAGUUGGUAAGGUAACGGCUUACCAAGGCAACGAUGCGUAGCCGACCUGAGAGGGUGAUCGGCCACACUGGAACUGAGACACGGUCCAGACUCCUACGGGAGGCAGCAGUAGGGAAUCUUCCGCAAAGGGCGAAAGCCUGACGGAGCAACGCCGCGUGAGUGAUGAAGGUCUUCGGAUCGUAAAACUCUGUUAUUAGGGAAGAACAAAUGUGUAAGUAACUAUGCACGUCUUGACGGUACCUAAUCAGGAAGCCACGGCUAACUACGUG
rnacentral:rRNA from 1 species